rnacentral:rRNA from 1 species
GUUAAGCGACUAAGCGUACACGGUGGAUGCCCUGGCAGUCAGAGGCGAUGAAGGACGUGCUAAUCUGCGAUAAGCGUCGGUAAGGUGAUAUGAACCGUUAUAACCGGCGAUUUCCGAAUGGGGAAACCCAGUGUGUUUCGACACACUAUCAUUAACUGAAUCCAUAGGUUAAUGAGGCGAACCGGGGAACUGAAACAUCUAAGUACCCCGAGGAAAAGAAAUCAACCGAGAUUCCCCCAGUAGCGGCGAGCGAACGGGGAGCAGCCCAGAGCCUGAAUCAGUGUGUGUGUUAGUGGAAGCGUCUGGAAAGGCGCGCGAUACAGGGUGACAGCCCCGUACACAAAAAUGCACAUGCUGUGAGCUCGAUGAGUAGGGCGGGACACGUGGUAUCCUGUCUGAAUAUGGGGGGACCAUCCUCCAAGGCUAAAUACUCCUGACUGACCGAUAGUGAACCAGUACCGUGAGGGAAAGGCGAAAAGAACCCCGGCGAGGGGAGUGAAAAAGAACCUGAAACCGUGUACGUACAAGCAGUGGGAGCACGCUUAGGCGUGUGACUGCGUACCUUUUGUAUAAUGGGUCAGCGACUUAUAUUCUGUAGCAAGGUUAACCGAAUAGGGGAGCCGAAGGGAAACCGAGUCUUAACUGGGCGUUAAGUUGCAGGGUAUAGACCCGAAACCCGGUGAUCUAGCCAUGGGCAGGUUGAAGGUUGGGUAACACUAACUGGAGGACCGAACCGACUAAUGUUGAAAAAUUAGCGGAUGACUUGUGGCUGGGGGUGAAAGGCCAAUCAAACCGGGAGAUAGCUGGUUCUCCCCGAAAGCUAUUUAGGUAGCGCCUCGUGAAUUCAUCUCCGGGGGUAGAGCACUGUUUCGGCAAGGGGGUCAUCCCGACUUACCAACCCGAUGCAAACUGCGAAUACCGGAGAAUGUUAUCACGGGAGACACACGGCGGGUGCUAACGUCCGUCGUGAAGAGGGAAACAACCCAGACCGCCAGCUAAGGUCCCAAAGUCAUGGUUAAGUGGGAAACGAUGUGGGAAGGCCCAGACAGCCAGGAUGUUGGCUUAGAAGCAGCCAUCAUUUAAAGAAAGCGUAAUAGCUCACUGGUCGAGUCGGCCUGCGCGGAAGAUGUAACGGGGCUAAACCAUGCACCGAAGCUGCGGCAGCGACGCUGAUGCGUUGUUGGGUAGGGGAGCGUUCUGUAAGCCUGCGAAGGUGUGCUGUGAGGCAUGCUGGAGGUAUCAGAAGUGCGAAUGCUGACAUAAGUAACGAUAAAGCGGGUGAAAAGCCCGCUCGCCGGAAGACCAAGGGUUCCUGUCCAACGUUAAUCGGGGCAGGGUGAGUCGACCCCUAAGGCGAGGCCGAAAGGCGUAGUCGAUGGGAAACAGGUUAAUAUUCCUGUACUUGGUGUUACUGCGAAGGGGGGACGGAGAAGGCUAUGUUGGCCGGGCGACGGUUGUCCCGGUUUAAGCGUGUAGGCUGGUUUUCCAGGCAAAUCCGGAAAAUCAAGGCUGAGGCGUGAUGACGAGGCACUACGGUGCUGAAGCAACAAAUGCCCUGCUUCCAGGAAAAGCCUCUAAGCAUCAGGUAACAUCAAAUCGUACCCCAAACCGACACAGGUGGUCAGGUAGAGAAUACCAAGGCGCUUGAGAGAACUCGGGUGAAGGAACUAGGCAAAAUGGUGCCGUAACUUCGGGAGAAGGCACGCUGAUAUGUAGGUGAAGUCCCUUGCGGAUGGAGCUGAAAUCAGUCGAAGAUACCAGCUGGCUGCAACUGUUUAUUAAAAACACAGCACUGUGCAAACACGAAAGUGGACGUAUACGGUGUGACGCCUGCCCGGUGCCGGAAGGUUAAUUGAUGGGGUCAGCGCAAGCGAAGCUCUUGAUCGAAGCCCCGGUAAACGGCGGCCGUAACUAUAACGGUCCUAAGGUAGCGAAAUUCCUUGUCGGGUAAGUUCCGACCUGCACGAAUGGCGUAAUGAUGGCCAGGCUGUCUCCACCCGAGACUCAGUGAAAUUGAACUCGCUGUGAAGAUGCAGUGUACCCGCGGCAAGACGGAAAGACCCCGUGAACCUUUACUAUAGCUUGACACUGAACAUUGAGCCUUGAUGUGUAGGAUAGGUGGGAGGCUUUGAAGUGUGGACGCCAGUCUGCAUGGAGCCGACCUUGAAAUACCACCCUUUAAUGUUUGAUGUUCUAACGUUGACCCGUAAUCCGGGUUGCGGACAGUGUCUGGUGGGUAGUUUGACUGGGGCGGUCUCCUCCUAAAGAGUAACGGAGGAGCACGAAGGUUGGCUAAUCCUGGUCGGACAUCAGGAGGUUAGUGCAAUGGCAUAAGCCAGCUUGACUGCGAGCGUGACGGCGCGAGCAGGUGCGAAAGCAGGUCAUAGUGAUCCGGUGGUUCUGAAUGGAAGGGCCAUCGCUCAACGGAUAAAAGGUACUCCGGGGAUAACAGGCUGAUACCGCCCAAGAGUUCAUAUCGACGGCGGUGUUUGGCACCUCGAUGUCGGCUCAUCACAUCCUGGGGCUGAAGUAGGUCCCAAGGGUAUGGCUGUUCGCCAUUUAAAGUGGUACGCGAGCUGGGUUUAGAACGUCGUGAGACAGUUCGGUCCCUAUCUGCCGUGGGCGCUGGAGAACUGAGGGGGGCUGCUCCUAGUACGAGAGGACCGGAGUGGACGCAUCACUGGUGUUCGGGUUGUCAUGCCAAUGGCACUGCCCGGUAGCUAAAUGCGGAAGAGAUAAGUGCUGAAAGCAUCUAAGCACGAAACUUGCCCCGAGAUGAGUUCUCCCUGACUCCUUGAGAGUCCUGAAGGAACGUUGAAGACGACGACGUUGAUAGGCCGGGUGUGUAAGCGCAGCGAUGCGUUGAGCUAACCGGUACUAAUGAACCGUGAGGCUUAACCU